rnacentral:rRNA from 1 species
GUGGGGAAUUUUGGACAAUGGGCGCAAGCCUGAUCCAGCGACGCCGCGUGGAGGACGAAGGCCUUCGGGUUGUAAACUCCUUUUGGAGGGGAAGAAUAAAUUGACGGUACCCUCAGAAAAAGCCACGGCUAACUACGUGCCAGCAGCCGCGGUAAUACGUAGGUGGCGAGCGUUACUCGGAAUUACUAGGCGUAAAGCGUAUGUAGGUGGUUAGAUAAGUCUAUGGUGAAAUUUCCUGGCUUAACUGGGAAGGGACAGAGAUAAUAUCUGGCUUGAGUGUGGGAGGGGGAGACGGAAUUCCUGGUGUAGCGGUGAAAUGCGUAGAUAUCAGGAGGAACACCGAUGGCGAACGCAGUCUCCUGGCCCAAUACUGACACUGAGGUACGAAAGCUAGGGUAGCAAACAGGAUUAGAUACCCUGGUAGUCC